rnacentral:rRNA from 1 species
UUAACACAUGCAAGUCGAACGAUGAACCACUUCGGUGGGGAUUAGUGGCGAACGGGUGAGUAACACGUGGGCAAUCUGCCCUGCACUCUGGGACAAGCCCUGGAAACGGGGUCUAAUACCGGAUAUGAGUCUCCAAGGCAUCUUGGAGGCUGUAAAGCUCCGGCGGUGCAGGAUGAGCCCGCGGCCUAUCAGCUUGUUGGUGAGGUAACGGCUCACCAAGGCGACGACGGGUAGCCGGCCUGAGAGGGCGACCGGCCACACUGGGACUGAGACACGGCCCAGACUCCUACGGGAGGCAGCAGUGGGGAAUAUUGCACAAUGGGCGAAAGCCUGAUGCAGCGACGCCGCGUGAGGGAUGACGGCCUUCGGGUUGUAAACCUCUUUCAGCAGGGAAGAAGCGAAAGUGACGGUACCUGCAGAAGAAGCGCCGGCUAACUACGUGCCAGCAGCCGCGGUAAUACGUAGGGCGCAAGCGUUGUCCGGAAUUAUUGGGCGUAAAGAGCUCGUAGGCGGCUUGUCACGUCGGUUGUGAAAGCCCGGGGCUUAACCCCGGGUCUGCAGUCGAUACGGGCAGGCUAGAGUUCGGUAGGGGAGAUCGGAAUUCCUGGUGUAGCGGUGAAAUGCGCAGAUAUCAGGAGGAACACCGGUGGCGAAGGCGGAUCUCUGGGCCGAUACUGACGCUGAGGAGCGAAAGCGUGGGGAGCGAACAGGAUUAGAUACCCUGGUAGUCCACGCCGUAAACGGUGGGCACUAGGUGUGGGCGACAUUCCACGUCGUCCGUGCCGCAGCUAACGCAUUAAGUGCCCCGCCUGGGGAGUACGGCCGCAAGGCU